AUCCAGCUGACAAGUUCGAAAUAGGACGAAACGCGCAUCAAACUGGAU
rnacentral:hammerhead_ribozyme from 1 species